CCCUCCGACCCGGCCCAGUCCCAUAAUCUUUAUCCUCUUUUCUUCAAGAACCUACGCGUACAACCAUCCAAGAACAAGAAUACAACGUACAACAACAAUUCCUAGCUUCAGUAAAACAACAUUCAAACCCACCGAUCCAUUCGACCGAAAUCCAUCCAAAUCAACCCAUUUUCCCCCAAUUCCCCUUAUCUCAACCCGCAUCCAACCCGUUUUCUGCUUCCUCUUCACAGUCAUGUGCUUUCCCACACGAUUUUGGUAUGAAAUCUUCUAGAAAGAGGGUGAGGUGUUACCCCCAACGUCCGAAUUCCGCAAUUUUUGGGAUAACGUGUACGGAUUCGUACCUGUUUGGCAAAUUUUCAUUGGUUCUUGGGAAAAUGAUCCAUUUCCCCCAAUGGUUGUUGGCCAUCUGUUGAAAAUCCGUUCAAGAAAAUCAAUAGGGGUACAAUUUGUGAGCAUUCUCCUCUUUUCGAAUUCAAAAACGAACCCUCAACCCCCCCUUUUAUAAAUAGCUCUCUUUAGGGUCUGAAGGGGGAGUUUUUUUCUUUCUUUUGGGAAAUUUUUCUUUCUUUUGAGGACUGUUCCUAGGCUUUUAGGUUAAAAAUUAGGGUUUCAAAAAGGGGGAAAUCUUCUAAGUAAGUUUCUGAUUUCGAAAACAGAGAGAGGAAAAAUUUUUGGAUUUUUUUUUAAUGAAUUCAAGUUGAAAGUCUUAGUUGAAAAUCUGGGAGGUUUCAAAAUUUCUAAGAGGAAAAAGAAAAAGGGCGCUCUGUUGGUGGUCGACGUCGCGAGAUUCUGGUAGCGACAUGUUUGCUGAUAGCUCGUCGUCCCGUUUGCUGCCCCGGAGGAGGUUCUAGGGUUGGGAAAAUUUGAAGAAGGAAAAAUCUUUUCUGAGCUGUUUGGGUUCGAGUGAAGAAACCUCUCUUCGGAAACCUUCUAGUGGUGGUGGUUGAGCUUUUGUUAUAGGUUCAAGUCCCGUUUGCUGCUUUUAAAUAGAGGUUGCACUUCGGGGACAAAUUAAACUGGCUACCACUAGAGGGUCACACGUUACAAAACUCGUCGCAUCUCGCCGACAGCAACUGCAAGGAGUUGAAAAGAAAAUGCAAGAAGAAUUUAAUCGAGAGAGAUCUCAGUGGAUCCGUGAAAGAGGAAUAUUGCGAGAACAGUUGGAGGUUACUUCUGCUCGUGAACAGCGUGCAAGAGAGAUGGUUGAUUUUCGAGAUCGACAGGCCCAGGAAUGGGAUCAGGCCUUUAGUUCCCUUCGAGGUAAGUCCACCGUGUAGCACAAGAUACUGCCAGAAUGGGUUUGGAUUAUCAGCAGUUGGAUCAUGAGGACUUUUUAGCACAAGUACCAGCUUUCGGACAGCGUCUCACUACUUCAUUGGAGGAUAUAUAUUUGAGUUUGGGAGGACAUAUUAAGUCGAAGUCUCCUUGAAUGAAUAGUUGUUUUCAUUUUCAUAGUUUUUCAUUUUCAGUUUUAAAACUUAUUGUUUAGA